GUGCCAGCAGCCGCGGUAAUACGUAGGGUGCGAGCGUUAAUCGGAAUUACUGGGCGUAAAGCGUGCGCAGGCGGUUUUGUAAGACAGAUGUGAAAUCCCCGGGCUUAACCUGGGAACUGCGUUUGUGACUGCAAGGCUAGAGUACGGCAGAGGGGGGUGGAAUUCCACGUGUAGCAGGGAAAUGCGUAGAGAUGUGGAGGAACACCGAUGGCGAAGGCAGCCCCCUGGGCCUGUACUGACGCGCAUGCACGAAAGCGUGGGGGGCAAACAGGAUUAGGUACCCGGGAAGGUCAAGCCCUAA
rnacentral:rRNA from 1 species